rnacentral:rRNA from 1 species
CAGCAGCCACGGGAAUACGUAGGGUGCAAUCGUUAAUCGGAAUUACUGGGCGUAAAGCGUGCGCAGGCGGUUAUAUAAGACAGAUGUGAAAUCCCCGGGCUCAACCUGGGAACUGCAUUUGUGACUGUAUAGCUAGAGUACGGCAGAGGGGGAUGGAAUUCCGCGUGUAGCAGUGAAAUGCGUAGAUAUGCGGAGGAACACCGAUGGCGAAGGCAAUCCCCUGGGCCUGUACUGACGCUCAUGCACGAAAGCGUGGGGAGCAAACAGGAUUAGAUACCCCAGUAGUCCCUGUCUCUUAUAC